GUCGAGAAUCUUUCACAAUGGGGGCAACCCUGAUGGAGCGACGCCGCGUGGAGGAUAAGGUCUUCGGAUUGUAAACUCCUGUCAUGCGUGAACAAGGUUGCUUGGUUAAUACCUGGGCAAAUUGAUGGUAACGCAAGAGGAAGAGACGGCUAACUCUGUGCCAGCAGCCGCGGUAAUACAGAGGUCUCAAGCGUUGUUCGGAAUCACUGGGCGUAAAGGGUGCGUAGGUGGCGUGGUAAGUCAGAUGUGAAAGCCCGGGGCUCAACCUCGGAACUGCAAGCGAUACUGCCAUGCUAGAGUACUGGAGAGGUGACUAGAAUUCUCGGUGUAGCAGUGAAAUGCGUAGAUAUCGAGAGGAAUACCAAAGGCGUAGGCAGGUCACUGGACAGUUACUGACACUGAGGCACGAAGGCCAGGGGAGCGAACGGGAUUAGAAACCCCAGUAGUCC
rnacentral:rRNA from 1 species